rnacentral:rRNA from 1 species
AGGACGAACGCUGGCGGCGCGCUUAACACAUGCAAGUCGAGCGAGAACCGGGGCUUCGGCCCCGGGGACAGCGGCGAACGGGUGAGUAACACGUGGAUAACCUGCCCUCGGCACCGGGAUAGCCCGGGGAAACCCGGAUUAAUACCGGAUGGCCCUUCCGACUUUCGAGUCGGUCGGCAAAGGUAGCUUCGGCCUCCGGCCGAGGAUAGGUCCGCGGCGGAUUAGCUUGUUGGUGGGGUAAUGGCCUACCAAGGCUCCGAUCCGUAGCUGGUCUGAGAGGACGAUCAGCCACACUGGGACUGAGACACGGCCCAGACUCCUACGGGAGGCAGCAGUGGGGGAAUCGUUGCGCAACUGGGCGAAAGCCGUGACGCAGCGACGCCGCGUGAGGGACGACGGCCGUUCGGGUUGUAAACCGUUCUUUCAGGAGGGACGAACGCUACUCGGGUUAAUACGCCCAGGAGGUUACGAACGGUACCUACCCGAAGGUAACGAAACGGACCCCCGGACUAAACGUACCGUUCGACUAG